GGGGAUAUAGCUCAGUUGGUAGAGUGUUGGCCUUGCAUGCACAAGGCCCUGGGUUCAAUUCCUGGCAACCCCC
rnacentral:tRNA from 1 species